rnacentral:rRNA from 1 species
AACGUACGCUGGCGGCACGCCUAACACAUGCAAGUCGAACGAAGUAGCAAUACUUAGUGGCAGACGGGUGAGUAACAUGUAGGUAUCUGCCCUUUGGCCUGGAAUAACACGAGGAAACUUGUGCUAAUACCGGAUAAGUCUUUACGGAGAAAGCUUUAUGCACCAUUGGAUGAGCCUGCACUUGAUUAGUUUGUUGGUGGGGUAAUGGCCUACCAAGACUGUGAUCAAUAGCUGAUUUGAGAGGAUGAUCAGCCACAUUGGGACUGAGACACGGCCCAAACUCCUACGGGAGGCAGCAGUGGGGAAUCUUGCACAAUGGAGGAAACUCUGAUGCAGCGAUGCCGCGUGAGUGAAGAAGGCCUUUGGGUUGUAAAGCUCUUUCGUCGGGGAAGAAAAUGACUGUACCCGAAUAAGAAGGUCCGGCUAACUUCGUG